CCGUGAGGAGUUAAAGCAGCUCUGAAGGCCGAUGCAGCGACAGUCACACACAUGAACACCUCAAACCUCGCUGCCAUCAACACGCCUUCAGAAAUAUUAAGGCUCUCUCUGCAGCGGGGUGGCAUACGAACCCUCACGGGUGAUACUGACGCGCACAAACUCGGCAGAUUGGACGAGCGGCAGGACGAAGGUUCGAGGCGCUGAGCACGGGGUUAACCAGCCGUGAACAGGACACAGG